GAUGAACGCUGGCGGCGUGCCUAAUACAUGCAAGUCGAGCGAACAGACGAGGAGCUUGCUCCUCUGACGUUAGCGGCGGACGGGUGAGUAACACGUGGAUAACCUACCUAUAAGACUGGGAUAACUUCGGGAAACCGGAGCUAAUACCGGAUAAUAUAUUGAACCGCAUGGUUCAAUAGUGAAAGACGGUUUUGCUGUCACUUAUAGAUGGAUCCGCGCCGCAUUAGCUAGUUGGUAAGGUAACGGCUUACCAAGGCAACGAUGCGUAGCCGACCUGAGAGGGUGAUCGGCCACACUGGAACUGAGACACGGUCCAGACUCCUACGGGAGGCAGCAGUAGGGAAUCUUCCGCAAUGGGCGAAAGCCUGACGGAGCAACGCCGCGUGAGUGAUGAAGGUCUUCGGAUCGUAAAACACUGUUAUUAGGGAAGAACAAAUGUGUAAGUAACUAUGCACGUCUUGACGGUACCGAAUCAGAAAGCCACGGCUAACUACGU
rnacentral:rRNA from 1 species